CUUCCGUUACAGUGACCUGCGGAGGGAUCAUUGCUGGAACGCGCCCCUGGCGCACCCAGAAACCCUUUGUGAACUUAUACCUUACUGUUGCCUCGGCGCAUGCUGGCCCCCUCGGGGUCCCUUGGAGACAAGGAGCAGGCACGCCGGCGGCCAAGUUAACUCUUGUUUUUACACUGAAACUCUGAGAAAAAACACAAAUGAAUCAAAACUUUCAACAACGGAUCUCUUGGUUCUGGCAUCGAUGAAGAACGCAGCGAAAUGCGAUAAGUAAUGUGAAUUGCAGAAUUCAGUGAAUCAUCGAAUCUUUGAACGCACAUUGCGCCCUCUGGUAUUCCGGAGGGCAUGCCUGUUCGAGCGUCAUUUCAACCCUCAAGCAUUGCUUGGUGUUGGGGCACUGCUUUUUACCCAAAAGCAGGCCCUGAAAUCUAGUGGCGAGCUCGCCAGGACCCCGAGCGCAGUAGUUAAACCCUCGCUUUGGAAGGCCCUGGCGGUGCCCUGCCGUUAAACCCCCAACUUUUGAAAAUUUGACCUCGGAUCAGGUAGGAAUACCCGCUGAACUUAAGCAUAUCAUAA
rnacentral:rRNA from 1 species